CUGUUGUUAAAGAAGAACAUAUCUGAGAGUAACUGUUCAGGUAUUGACGGUAUUUAACCAGAAAGCCACGGCUAACUACGUGCCAGCAGCCGCGGUAAUACGUAGGUGGCAAGCGUUGUCCGGAUUUAUUGGGCGUAAAGCGAGCGCAGGCGGUUUUUUAAGUCUGAUGUGAAAGCCUUCGGCUCAACCGAAGAAGUGCAUCGGAAACUGGGAAACUUGAGUGCAGAAGAGGACAGUGGAACUCCAUGUGUAGCGGUGAAAUGCGUAGAUAUAUGGAAGAACACCAGUGGCGAAGGCGGCUGUCUGGUCUGUAACUGACGCUGAGGCUCGAAAGUAUGGGUAGCAAACAGGAUUAGAUACCCUGGUAGUCCAUACCGUAAACGAUGAAUGCUAAGUGUUGGAGGGUUUCCGCCCUUCAGUGCUGCAGCUAACGCAUUAAGCAUUCCGCCUGGGGAGUACGGCCGCAAGGCUGAAACUCAAAGGAAUUGACGGGGGCCCGCACAAGCGGUGGAGCAUGUGGUUUAAUUCGAAGCUACGCGAAGAACCUUACCAGGUCUUGACAUACUAUGCAAAUCUAAGAGAUUAGACGUUCCCUUCGGGGACAUGGAUACAGGUGGUGCAUGGUUGUCGUCAGCUCGUGUCGUGAGAUGUUGGGUUAAGUCCCGCAACGAGCGCAACCCUUAUUAUCAGUUGCCAGCAUUAAGUUGGGCACUCUGGUGAGACUGCCGGUGACAAACCGGAGGAAGGUGGGGAUGACGUCAAAUCAUCAUGCCCCUUAUGACCUGGGCUACACACGUGCUACAAUGGAUGGUACAACGAGUUGCGAACUCGCGAGAGUAAGCUAAUCUCUUAAAGCCAUUCUCAGUUCGGAUUGUAGGCUGCAACUCGCCUACAUGAAGUCGGAAUCGCUAGUAAUCGCGGAUCAGCAUGCCGCGGUGAAUACGUUCCCGGGCCUUGUACACACCGCCCGUCACACCAUGAGAGUUUGUAACACCCAAAGUCGGUGGGGU
rnacentral:rRNA from 2 species